GGAAGAGCCAGAGAAAAGCCAUUUUCUGUUCCCAGAAAAUCAGCACCAAUCCGAAGCCCACACCGAUGUGCUGCUCUUCUCCACAAGCCAUGAUUCGUUUAGUGCCAGAACAGACUGUACUCUCAGGCCGCAUGCAGCUUGUUCUGAGCCUCAGGCCACCAGGCAUAAGAAAGAACGCAUGGUCAUUAGCUGACUCUGAUGAUCAGAUCAUGGAACUUCUUCCUGCGCUUUGGAAUAGGUGGUGUCUCAGAGAAGAGCUGUGUCUAACAGGUCAUCCUAAGACCCAGAGAGGUUUUCCCAAGACCCAGAGCUCUCCUGUGGAACUGGGGCUGAAAACAAGCAUGAUCCACAACAUAUUAGAGGUUAGCGAAGAGCCCUUUUACAUGUUAAAGGAGAAGCCUGGAAAAGGUGAAACCUGAAAGAAUUACCUCUUUAAUGCUGGAAUUGCAGGGUCCUUGGCAGGAUGUGGAUGGGAGAGGUUGUGAUUGUUUUGGAGGAAGGGGUAUCUUUCCAGUGCCCUUCAAGACACAUCACAUAUGUCACCUUCUAAUGUCCUCAGUUACAAAGCCACUUCUUGGGGCACCUGGGUGGCUCAGUGGUUGAGCUGAGUGCCUUUGGCUCAGGGCAUGAUCCUGGGGUCCCGGGAUCAAGUCCCCAAUCGGGCUCCCCGCAAGGAGACUGCUUCUCCUCCUGCCUGUAUCUCCACCUCCGUCUCU
rnacentral:lncRNA from 1 species